rnacentral:rRNA from 1 species
GCUAAUUUGCUGACGAGCGGCGGACGGGUGAGUAAUGCCUAGGGAACUGCCCAGUCGAGGGGGAUAACAGUUGGAAACGACUGCUAAUACCGCAUACGCCCUACGGGGGAAAAGAGGGGACCUUCGGGCCUUCUGCGAUUGGAUGUACCUAGGUGGGAUUAGCUAGUUGGUGAGGUAAUGGCUCACCAAGGCGACGAUCCCUAGCUGUUCUGAGAGGAUGAUCAGCCACACUGGGACUGAGACACGGCCCAGACUCCUACGGGAGGCAGCAGUGGGGAAUAUUGCACAAUGGGCGCAAGCCUGAUGCAGCCAUGCCGCGUGUGUGAAGAAGGCCUUCGGGUUGUAAAGCACUUUCAGCGAGGAGGAAAGCUUAAGCGUUAAUAGCGUUUAGGUGUGACGUUACUCGCAGAAGAAGGACCGGCUAACUUCGUGCCAGCAGCCGCGGUAAUACGAGGGGUCCAAGCGUUAAUCGGAAUUACUGGGCGUAAAGCGUACGCAGGCGGUUUGUUAAGCGAGAUGUGAAAGCCCCGGGCUCAACCUGGGAAUAGCAUUUCGAACUGGCAAACUAGAGUCUUGUAGAGGGGGGUAGAAUUUCAGGUGUAGCGGUGAAUGCGUAGAGAUCUGAAGGAAUACCGGUGGCGAAGCGGCCCCUGGACAAGACUGACGCUCAGGUACGAAGCGUGGGGAGCAACAGGAUUAGAUACCUGGUAGUCCACGCCGUAACGAUGUCUACUCGGAAUUGGUGUCUUGAACACUGGGUUCCCAGCUAACGCAUUAAGUAACCGCCUGGGGAGUACCGCCGCAGGUUAAACUCAAUGAAUGACGGGGGCCGCACAGCGGUGGAGCAUGUGGUUAUUCGAUGCAC